rnacentral:rRNA from 1 species
UACGGAGGAUCCAAGCGUUAUCCGGAAUCAUUGGGUUUAAAGGGUCCGUAGGCGGUUUUGCAAGUCAGUGGUGAAAGCCCAUCGCUCAACGGUGGAACGGCCAUUGAUACUGCAAGACUUGAAUUACUAGGAAGUAACUAGAAUAUGUAGUGUAGCGGUGAAAUGCUUAGAUAUUACAUGGAAUACCAAUUGCGAAGGCAGGUUACUACUAGUGGAUUGACGCUGAUGGACGAAAGCGUGGGGAGCGAACAGG